GCCCUGCAUGAAGUCGGAAUUGCUAGUAAUCGCGGAUCAGCAUGCCGCGGUGAAUACGUUCCCGGGCCUUGUACACACCGCCCGUCACACCAUGGGAGCCGGUAAUACCCGAAGUCAGUAGUCCAACCACGUGAGGACGCUGCCGAAGGUAGGAUUGGCGACUGGGGUGAAGUCGUAACAAGGUACC
rnacentral:rRNA from 1 species